AUUGAACGCUGGCGGCAGGCCUAACACAUGCAAGUCGAACGGUAACAGGAAACAGCUUGCUGUUUCGCUGACGAGUGGCGGACGGGUGAGUAAUGUCUGGGUAACUGCCUGAUGGAGGGGGAUAACUACUGGAAACGGUAGCUAAUACCGCAUAACGUCGCAAUACCAAAGAGGGGGACCUUCGGGCCUCUUGCCAUCGGAUGUGCCCAGAUGGGAUUAGCUAGUAGGUGGGGUAACGGCUCACCUAGGCGACGAUCCCUAGCUGGUCUGAGAGGAUGACCAGCCACACUGGAACUGAGACACGGUCCAGACUCCUACGGGAGGCAGCAGUGGGGAAUAUUGCACAAGGGGCGCAAGCCUGAUGCAGCCAUGUCGCGUGUAUGAAGAAGGCCUUCGGGUUGUAAAGUACUUUCAGCGGGGAGGAAGGGAGUAAAGUUAAUACCCUUGCUCAUUGACGUUACCCGCAGAAGAAGCACCGGCUAACUCCGUGCCAGCCGCCGCCGUAA
rnacentral:rRNA from 1 species